UCAUGUUCAAAUCUUCAUUUACCGUCCACAUUAUCAGAUGAGGACGUCACCAAAGAUUGUCCUUUGAGUCGAUGUUUACAUUUAUGUACAGAUAAUUAAGAACAUUUAGUUUAUUGUAAAAUGCUAAUUAUUUUCUCCUGCCACCUUUCAGACAUUGUCAUCCAAUUUGGAUGGAACAACUUCGUGACCUUAAUGACACCCAGCAACACGAGACGCACACAAGCACCACAGGGGAGGAUCUGCAGCAAAGGGCCCACCGGAAAUCAAACCUUGGCCGCUAUGAUGACGACAACAUGGGGCACUUGAGUGUGUGACUACGACGACCAGCAUGAACCUCAACACCUUCUUUGCUGUUCCACUAGUGUGACCCAUGAUCGGAUACAAGUUGUCAAGGAUAAACGGUGAGAGAAUCAUGUCAGCCCACAGACAACCGAUUGACCUGUGAGUCUUCAAGCAGUAAUGAUGACUGCGCCUGCCUUAAGUUCCAGUUUCCUGAACAUCAUGGCAUGUCUGCAGGAGAUUCGGUCCCCACCUGUCUUCAGUCUGGACCUAAUGACUCAGACACCAGUCUUGUCGAGGCUAAAUCGAGAGGAUCACCUGAUGUCAACAUACGAGUUUUCAAGAAGAACUUCCUGAACUUUGUGUCCGUGUGAGACUCUACCAUGCUGGGUGCCCUCUUCAGUCAAGUCUGGACACAGCGACUCAUUGCUCUUAAUCAACUCUGGGCAAGUGGCUAAUCUUUUGCUUAUUCAUGGGAUAUCCUUCAUGUCCACAUCCUGUUUCUUCAAGAUCUCAACAAUGCUUUGUGAGUAAACAACACAUGUGAGUGGAUCAGUUCAACCUGUUUUCACAGAAUGUUAGUUUCUUAAGGUUUUCAUCAAUGAUGGUUUGUAUCUUGUUUUCCAAAAGGUGUUAUUAAGAUAUUUCCAUUUGUAAUUUACAAGAAUCAAAUGUUGACUGUAAAAUCUAUGCCAACCUAUUG